rnacentral:rRNA from 1 species
GACGAACGCUGGCGGCGUGCCUAAUACAUGCAAGUAGAACGCUGAAGCGAGGAGCUUGCUCUUCUUGGAUGAGUUGCGAACGGGUGAGUAACGCGUAGGUAACCUGCCUUGUAGCGGGGGAUAACUAUUGGAAACGAUAGCUAAUACCGCAUAACAAUGGAUGACACAUGUCAUUUAUUUGAAAGGGGCAAUUGUUCCACUACAAGAUGGACCUGCGUUGUAUUAGCUAGUAGGUGAGGUAAUGGCUCACCUAGGCGACGAUACAUAGCCGACCUGAGAGGGUGAUCGGCCAAACUGGGACUGAGACACGGCCCAGACUCCUACGGGAGGCAGCAGUAGGGAAUCUUCGGCAAUGGGGGCAACCCUGACCGAGCAACGCCGCGGGAGGGAAGAAGGGUUUCGGAUCGUAAAGCUCUGUUGUAAGUCAAGAACGGGUGUGAGAGUGGAAAGUUCACACUGUGACGGUAGCUUAACAGAAAGGGACGGCUAACUACGUG